AGAGACCGGCGCACGGGUGCGUAACGCGUAUGCAAUCUACCUUUCACAAAGGGAUAGCCCAGAGAAAUUUGGAUUAAUACCUUAUAGUAUAUAUGAAUGGCAUCAUUUAUAUAUUAAAGAUUUAUCGGUGAAAGAUGAGCAUGCGUCCCAUUAGCUAGUUGGUAAGGUAACGGCUUACCAAGGCAACGAUGGGUAGGGGUCCUGAGAGGGAGAUCCCCCACACUGGUACUGAGACACGGACCAGACUCCUACGGGAGGCAGCAGUGAGGAAUAUUGGACAAUGGGCGCAAGCCUGAUCCAGCCAUGCCGCGUGCAGGAUGACGGUCCUAUGGAUUGUAAACUGCUUUUAUACAGGAAGAAACAGUUCUACGUGUAGAACCUUGACGGUACUGUAAGAAUAAGGAUCGGCUAACUCCGUGCCAGCAGCCGCGGUAAUACGGAGGAUCCAAGCGUUAUCCGGAAUCAUUGGGUUUAAAGGGUCCGUAGGCGGUCAGAUAAGUCAGUGGUGAAAGCCCAUCGCUCAACGGUGGAACGGCCAUUGAUA
rnacentral:rRNA from 1 species